ensembl:miRNA
CAUGUGUGUGUGUGUGUGUGUGUGUAUAGAUAUAUCUAUCUAUCUAUGUCUAUACAUACACACACACACACACACACACACACACACACAUAAAC